AGAGUUUGAUCCUGGCUCAGAUUGAACGCUGGCGGCAUGCCUUACACAUGCAAGUCGAACGGCAGCACGGGGGCAACCCUGGUGGCGAGUGGCGAACGGGUGAGUAAUACAUCGGAACGUGUCCUGUAGUGGGGGAUAGCUCGGCGAAAGCCGGAUUAAUACCGCAUACGCUCUACGGAGGAAAGCGGGGGAUCUUCGGACCUCGCGCUAAAGGGGCGGCCGAUGGCAGAUUAGCUAGUUGGUGGGGUAAAGGCCUACCAAGGCGACGAUCUGUAGCUGGUCUGAGAGGACGACCAGCCACACUGGGACUGAGACACGGCCCAGACUCCUACGGGAGGCAGCAGUGGGGAAUUUUGGACAAUGGGCGCAAGCCUGAUCCAGCAAUGCCGCGUGUGUGAAGAAGGCCUUCGGGUUGUAAAGCACUUUUGUCAGG
rnacentral:rRNA from 1 species